UAGAGACGCUGGCGGCGUGCCUAAUACAUGCAAGUCGAACGAACUCUGGAAUAGCUUGCUGCUUGCAUCUUGAUUUACAUUUGAGGGAGUGGCGAACUGGUGAGUACCACUUGGGAAACCUGCCCAGAAGCGGGGGAUAACACCUGGAAACUAAUGCUAUUACCGCAUAGCAACUUGAACCGCAUGGUCCUACCUUGGAAGAUGGUUUCGGCUAUCGCUUUUGGAUGGUCCCGCGGCGUAUUAACUACAUGGUGGGGUAACGGCUCACCAUGGACAUGAUACGUAGCCGACCUGAGAGGGUACUCGGCCACAUUGGGACUGACACCCGGACCAAACUCCUACGGAAGGUACCAAUAGGGAAUCUUCCACAAUGAACAACAGCCUGAUGGAGCAACGCCCUUUGAGUGAAGAAAGGUUUCGGCUCGUAAAACUCUGUUGGUUAAUAAAAACAUAUCUGACAGUAACUGUUCCUGUAUUGACGGUAUUUAACCAGAACGCCACGGCUAACUACGUGCCCACCAGCCGCCGGUAAUACGUAGGUGGCAAGCGUUGUUCCGGAUUUAUUGGGCGUAAAGUCGUAGCGCAGGCAGGUUUUUAAGUCUGAUGUGAAAGCCUUCGGCUCAACCGAAGAAGUGCAUCGGAAACUGGGAAACUUGAGUGCAGAAGAGGACAGUGGAACUCCAUGUGUAGCGGUGAAAUGCGUAGAUAUAUGGAAGAACACCAGUGGCGAAGGCGGCUGUCUGGUCUGUAACUGACGCUGAGGCUCGAAAGUAUGGGUAGCAAACAGGAUUAGAUACCCUGGUAGUCCAUACCGUAAACGAUGAAUGCUAAGUGUUGGAGGGUUUCCGCCCUUCAGUGCUGCAGCUAACGCAUUAAGCAUUCCGCCUGGGGAGUACGGCCGCAAGGCUGAAACUCAAAGGAAUUGACGGGGGCCCGCACAAGCGGUGGAGCAUGUGGUUUAAUUUGAAGCUACGCGAAGAACCUUACCAGGUCUUGACAUACUAUGCAAAUCUAAGAGAUUAGACGUUCCCUUCGGGGACAUGGAUACAGGUGGUGCAUGGUUGUCGUCAGCUCGUGUCGUGAGAUGUUGGGUUAAGUCCCGCAACGAGCGCAACCCUUAUUAUCAGUUGCCAGCAUUAAGUUGGGCACUCUGGUGAGACUGCCGGUGACAAACCGGAGGAAGGUGGGGAUGACGUCAAAUCAUCAUGCCCCUUAUGACCUGGGCUACACACGUGCUACAAUGGAUGGUACAACGAGUUGCGAACUCGCGAGAGUAAGCUAAUCUCUUAAAGCCAUUUUCAGUUCGGAUUGUAGGCUGCAACUCGCCUACAUGAAGUCGGAAUCGCUAGUAAUCGCGGAUCAGCAUGCCGCGGUGAAUACGUUCCCGGGCCUUGUACACACCGCCCGUCACACCAUGAGAGUUUGUAACACCCAAAGUCGGUGGGGUAACCUUUUAUGGAACCAGCCGCCUAAGGUGGACAGAUGAUAGGGGAAGUC
rnacentral:rRNA from 2 species